rnacentral:rRNA from 1 species
UUGUGUGGCCUAGAUACCCUAAAAAGGCACCAGAUCUUGUCUGAUCUUGGAAGCUAAGCAAAGUCAAACCUGGGUUGGUACUUGGAUGGGAGGCACCCAAUGAAUACCAGGUGCUAUAGAUU